rnacentral:pre_miRNA from 1 species
UUAAUACUCCCUCCACCCAGAAAUACUCAUCAGAGAAAUAGAUGUACCUAGAUGUAUUUUAGUUCUAGAUACAUUCAUUUUUAUUCAUAUAUGCGACAAGUAAUUCUGGACGGAGGGAGCAGUCA